UCACAAACUAGCUUAUUCUCAUAAUUUCCGCUUCCCUUAGGCUCUUUCUUAAAAAAAACACUCCUGAAGCGGGGAACUCGCGAAGUAGCUCGCCGGAGAAGCAUUGAUGGUGCCGGUGGCGUAUGCAGAAAAGGAGGAGUUCGCGGGAUACAUCUGGAAUUUAAGCGUAAUCACAUUCGAGGUGAAGCUUCAUGGUCCACAUUCUAAUCAGAGCUGCCUUGGUCCUUGAUGCCGAGGAUGACGCCUUUCCCCCUACUCAUAGCGAAACGAAUGGAAGACUACAUGUUGCUUUUGUGGGCCUGGGAGACGGACUCGGGAUCAAGUCGAGCGGGAGCUAGGACACGAUGGCAGUUGUUUGCAAACCGUUUCUAUAAAUCACUGUAAAAAAUCUAAAGUUUCUCAUAAUUUUUUUAUUAAAACCGCUGCCUAUAUCAAUCUAUAGCAACGGUUUAAAAACUCACACUAAUAAUUGCUACAAAAAUCUUAUAUUUUUUUUUU